UUUUUUGCCAGAUCCAAUCGGUUCUCCUGUCCCACGACUAUAGCGAUCAGGGCCGGGAGAUUGGGGGUGGCCGGCUGGCCACCCCGCCGGUUCGAGCUCGGAUCUCCCCCUAAUUGCAGCGACCGGCGACGGCGACCGGCCCCGCGAGCACUCCGCUCUAUCCCCCCUGAUUGCAGCGACCGGCAACGACGGAUUGAAGGAGGCCGCCCCACCAGCGGAUCUCGGAUCCACCGCAUCAACCCGCCCGCAAGCCCUUCCCCACCGAUUACAGCGACCGGCGACAACUCUCGGAUCACCAGGAUACAGCGAAGGGAUUUGGGGGAGAAAAGCACUGAGGUGACAUAGACGAAAGAGAGAAAGUGAGAUCCAGAGUUAUAUUGGAGAGGAAUUCAGAGUUUCAAUUUUACAAGUCAUACCCAGACAUGGCACCUGAAGGUUCUACCAUGCCAAAAACAAAAAAGCGUGUCAGAUCUACAAACAGUGCAUCAGCUACCUCAAGAAUAACUGGAUCCCAAGCUACCACAACAACUGAGUCGGUUGAACCUACAAACCAUCAAGAAUAGUCUGCACCAAAUCCAACAAACACAUCACCUCACCUAACUUCUAAGGAUAGCAACUCGCCUGACACUGAUUCCGGGAGGCAAGGUUCUCAAGACAUGAUAGGCACAUCUAGCCAAUCUGAUAACAUGAUUACACUACAAGGCCAAGGUUUUAAUGUAGACUCAUAAGCAUGCUCCACUGGUCCAACUGAUCCAUAAGCAUUCUCCACCGGGGGGAAUGAGACCUACAGACCCAAUCAAAGCAGCUAAACUAUCUUCUUUGUAAUCCAUCAUAUGAAGUUUGCCUUACUGGUGGUAUGAGCAAGCGGAAUGCGAUGGAAAAGAAAAGGGAAGCACAAUCAGAAGGUGAGUAGGCAAUAUCGGAUACAACAAUUGUGGCUGGAGUUCUAAAGGAAGAAAGCACCCAUAGCACAUUCCUUUCUAGCAUGGGUUAUGCAUCAAGAUCCAGGAGAUUUUGGACCUCUACUUAAUUAGCACAGAAUUGAAGUAAGAAUUGAAGAGAAGGAUGGAGAGGCGAGAGAUGCAAGUGAUAGGCACCGAGAGGAGUUAGCCGCGAGGCUUCAAGCACAAGUGACAACAUUUGAAGAGAUGCAGAGGAAACAAUAGGAAAAAUUGGAAGCUGUGAAGAAGAGCCUUCAAGAGAAGAAUGAAGCCUAGCAAAAGAAGCAACAGGAGACGGAUAACCUAAUUGGUUUUCUCUUAGAGGCUCAAGCAACUUAGCUGUCGAGUCCAAAACCGAUGGUGCAUGAAGGCCAUCCUUUUGUGAUGGAAAGAUAGUUGUUGAAUCAUAUGUUCUAGUCACCAGGACAACACAUGUGGUCUUUAGCUAUUUAAAUGUUGCCUUUUUAACUCGUGAGCGAGUGUUACUUUUUGAUGUCACUUUUGUUUAGGGGAUGAUUUGGCUGAGACGAUUGAUUAUAUGAUAUGAUUUGUCGUUCAUUCAAAUUUAUCAUGUGAUUCA